CAGAACGACCCGCGAACCAAA
rnacentral:snRNA from 1 species